GCCUCUGUGCUGUAGCGGUAGCAUGCGCUCCCAUGUAUGGAUGAAAUGCGGGUUCAAAUCCUGUCUGAGGUU